rnacentral:rRNA from 1 species
UACAGAGGUCUCAAGCGUUGUUCGGAUUCAUUGGGCGUAAAGGGUGCGUAGGCGGUUCGGUAAGUCGGGUGUGAAAACUUUGGGCUUAACCCAAAGACUGCACUCGAUACUGCUGUGACUUGAGUCCGGUAGGGGAGUGGGGAAUUCCUGGUGUAGCGGUGGAAUGCGCAGAUAUCAGGAGGAACACCGGUGGCGAAGGCGCCACUCUGGGCCGGUACUGACGCUGAGGAGCGAAAGCGUGGGGAGCGAACAGG